rnacentral:tRNA from 1 species
AGUAAAAUGACUGAAAUAUAGGUGAUAAAUUGUAAAUUUAUUUAUGAAAGUUUUUUUUUCUUUUACUA